GUGGUAAUGGAUGGGCAUGCGUUGUAUUAGUUAGUUGGUGGGGUAACGGCUCACCAAGACAACGAUACAUAGGGGGACUGAGAGGUUAACCCCCCACAUUGGUACUGAGACACGGACCAAACUCCUACGGGAGGCAGCAGUGAGGAAUAUUGGUCAAUGGACGCAAGUCUGAACCAGCCAUGCCGCGUGCAGGAAGACGGCUCUAUGAGUUGUAAACUGCUUUUGUACGAGGGUAAACGCAGAUACGCGUAUCUGUCUGAAAGUAUCGUACGAAUAAGGAUCGGCUAACUCCGUGCCAGCAGCCGCGGUAAUACGGAGGAUUCGAGCGUUAUCCGGAUUUAUUGGGUUUAAAGGGUGCGUAGGCGGUCGGAUAAGUUAGAGGUGAAAUCCCGGGGCUCAACUUCGGAAUUGCCUCUGAUACUGUUCGGCUAGAGAGUAGUUGCGGUAGGCGGAAUGUAUGGUGUAGCGGUGAAAUGCUUAGAGAUCAUACAGAACACCGAUUGCGAAGGCAGCUUACCAAGCUACUUCUGACGUUGAGGCACGAAAGCGUGGGGAGCAAACAGGAUUAGAUACCCUGGUAGUCCACGCAGUAAACGAUGAUAACUCGUUGUCGGCGAUACAAUGUCG
rnacentral:rRNA from 1 species